UAUCAUCAGAUGAUGAACACUUAAUGCACAUCUAUUGAAAAUAUAAAACCCGAGAUGAAUGGCCCAAGGACUAAAGCAAAAGCAGUGGCCAGCUUGCUCUCCAUCCAGGGAGAGGCGAGAGGGAGGUUAUUCAGGCAGAUGUAGGCUAAGAGGUCUGAGAUAAGAGGUCUGGUGAGCCCCAUCUCGUUCUCUCUGGCAGCCUUCCAGUGCUGCUGAGCAGGCCCCUGGCAUAUGAGGAGCCUUGAUGAGGGGGGAAUGGCUAGUAGGGGUUUAUUCCAGGCUCACAGGUCCAGGGGCUACUGGAAAACAAGAGACGGUGCAUAUGUAGACAGGCUGUAGAAUUGUCAGGAUUUUGUAUUUCUUGCCCCUUCUGACCAGCACUGAUUGAGCUGUUGAGAUUGGAGUAUAUGGGCUCUAAAACUCUUGGGCCAACACUUGGCAUUAUGUUAGACAGAAACCUCGAGGGCCUGCUUCUUACCAACUCCGUGGUUUGUGCAUGUUCUCUGUGUAGAGACCUGUAAGCACGCAGUGGCAGGGUUGCAGAACCAAGUGGGGGGUAGGCCACUUCCCUCAGAGCCCGCUCAGUCUGGCUUGCUAAAUGGUACACACGAGGGCAGGGAUCCCGUAAGUGCCGAUUGACAGAACAGGUUUGGUGAUGCAGGAGUGUGAAGCCGACUUCAGGCAAUGGAGGAUGAGUAAAGAUUUAAAAUUAUCUAUUGAAAUUUCAUAAAUUCUUUAAAGUUCAGCAUUCUUCUUCCGGUGUCUCCUCAUGACCUUUAGCCUCUUGUCCUUGCUGGGAAGGGAAGGUCACUGUGGGAGGCAUAAGGGUUUGUAGGUGGUGGUGGUUUUUUGACUAUCUGUUGUGUACCCAACACUAGGUUUUAUGCUUUACCAACAUUAACUUCUUGAAAGUUUGCAACAUCUCUGGGAAGUUUAAAGAAGAGGAAAUUUGAUCUGAGAGGAGCCACUGAGGCAGAGAGGGAGAUCGACCAGUCGAGCAUAUGAUACCAUGUGGAAGGAAGCCCCCACAGAGUAUUUUAGAUAGAAAAAUUCAGCGGGCAAUAGACUCUCAGCUAUCGAGUAGUAUUUUUGCAAGUUCCUUAAACAGGAGAUACCUCGGUCUUGCCUAAUUCUGCAUCCAUCAACACGCAGACUGCAGAAUGGGGCAAAGCUGAUCCCACGAGGAGCUGGUGCUCCAUUAGCCCUCUGCACACUGUCUCUCUUUGGGGAACCUUCACCUGAACAACAGGUCCAAAUGAUCUGUUUGUUUUUGUUUUUAUUUUCUCACCAAUAGGUUCUUAAAAAUUGUGCAGCUUCAGAAGUGAAGACCUCAGUAACUGUUAGGUGGUAAUGUAGUUUAGAGCCAGAAUUUGGAGUGCAGCCACUGGGAUUUGGGUCCUGACCCUGGCAUUUUCUAGCUGCAUGACUCUGGGUAAAUUAUUUCACUUCACUGUGCCUCAGUUUGCAGCUCUGAAAAUUGGAAUGCCAAUGAGAAUUCCCUCCAGGGGAUGAUCACAGGUUAAAGAGAUGUUUAAAAAAUGUAGCCUCUUUCUCUCUGGCUGUUAUCUCAGAGUUCUAGUGUUCUCACCUUUAUCUAUUCUGAAAAGGCUUUCUCCUUCACUUGUUUAGGAGGAGGGUGGCAUGAUUAGAUGACCUGGGCAAACUGCUUUAUAUCACAGUACCGAAAAACUCAUUAACUGCCCAAAUUAACUUUACAUGUGGUGAAUUGAUAAAAGCUGGGAGACUUUGAAAAGAGGGAAACUAGACAGAGAAUGCCGCCAGAGGAGAAUUUGGUGGCCCAUGAGAAGUUCUUGUAUGCAAUGAGACAUGAACAGCAAGUCAGGGUAUUCUACAAAUUGUUGGCAUACAUAUACUUUCCUGAGAAGAUGGGAGAAUGAUCAUACCCAUUAGGAUGGCUAAAAAAAACAGAAAAUAA